rnacentral:rRNA from 1 species
GUGCCAGCCGCCGCGUAAUACGGAGGGGCGGAGCGUUGUCCGGAAUUACUGGGCGUAAAGAGCUCGUAGGUGGUUUGUCGCGUUGUUCGUGAAAACUCACAACUCAAUUGUGGGCGUGCGGGCGAUACGGGCAGACUUGAGUACUGCAGGGGAGACUGGAAUUCCUGGUGUAGCGGUGGAAUGCGCAGAUAUCAGGAGGAACACCGGUGGCGAAGGCGGGUCUCUGGGCAGUAACUGACGCUGAGGAGCGAAAGCGUGGGGAGCGAACAGGAUUAGAUACCCUGGUAGUCCACGCCGUAAACGGUGGGUACUAGGUGUGGGUUUCCUUCCUUGGGAUCCGUGCCGUAGCUAACGCAUUAAGUACCCCGCCUGGGGAGUACGGCCGCAAGGCUAAAACUCAAAGAAAUUGACGGGGGCCCGCACAAGCGGCGGAGCAUGUGGGAUUAAUUCGAUGCAACGCGAAGAACCUUACCUGGUUUUGACAUGCACAGGACGCCGGCAGAGAUGUCGGUUCCCUUGUGGCCUGGUGUGCGGGGGGGGCAUGGCUGUCGUCAGCUCGUGUCGUGAGAUGUUGGGUUAAGUCCCGCAACGAGCGCAACCCUUGGUCCUAUGUUGCCAGCGGGUUAUGCCGGGGACUCGUAGGAGACUGCCGGGGGUCAACUCGGAGGGAGGGUGGGGGAUGACGUCAAGUCAUCAUGCCCCUUAUGUCCAGGGGUUUCACACAUGCUACAAUGGCCGGUACAAAGGGCUGCGAUGCCGUGAGGUGGAGCGAAUCCCUUUUCAAGCCGGUCUUCAGUUCGGAUCGGGGGUCUGGAACUUCGACCCCGUGAAGUCGGGAUCU